GAUGAAGAACGCAGCGAAAUGUGAUAAGUAAUGUGAAUUGCAGAAUUCAGUGAAUCAUCGAAUCUUUGAACGCACAUUGCGCCCGUUAGCAUUCUAGCGGGCAUGCCUGUCCGAGCGUCAUUUCAACCCUCAGGGUCCCCGUUCCGGCGGGGAACCUGGUGUUGGGGAUCGGCCCGCCCCGUGCGGCGCCGUCCCCCAAAUUCAGUGGCGGUCUCGCUGCAGCCUCCCCUGCGUAGUAGUUACAACCUCGCAUCGGAGCUCAGCGCGGCCACGCCGUAAAACCCCCGACUUUCUGAACGUUGACCUCGGAUCAGGUAGGAAUACCCGCUGAACUUAAGCAUAUCAAUAAGCGGAGGA
rnacentral:misc_RNA from 1 species